AACGCGAAGAACCUUACCUGGGCUUGAACCGCCGGUGACCAGCGGUGGAAACACCGCCUUCCCGCAAGGGACACCGGUAGAGGUGCUGCAUGGCUGUCGUCAGCUCGUGUCGUGAGAUGUUGGGUUAAGUCCCGCAACGAGCGCAACCCUUACCCCCAGUUGCCAUCAUUUAGUUGGGCACUCUGGUGGAACCGCCUCGGAUAACGGGGAGGAAGGUGGGGAUGACGUCAAGUCCUCAUGGCCUUUAUGUCCAGGGCUACACACGUGCUACAAUGGCCGGUACAAACCGUCGCAAACCCGUGAGGGGGAGCUAAUCGGAAAAAGCCGGCCUCAGUUCGGAUCGUAGUCUGCAACUCGACUACGUGAAGCUGGAAUCGCUAGUAAUCGCGGAUCAGAACGCCGCGGUGAAUACGUUCCCGGGCCUUGUACACACCGGUACUA
rnacentral:rRNA from 1 species